rnacentral:rRNA from 1 species
GGAUCAUUAUCGAGUUAGGGUCCCUAGGGCCCGAACCUCCCAACCCUUUGUUUAUCCAACCUCUGUUGCUUCGGCGGGCCCGUCCAUUAUGGACCGCCGGAGGACCACCGCUCGCGGUGUCCUCUGGCCCGCGUCCGUCGGUAGCCCACGUCUAAACUCUUGUCUAAAACGUGUUUGUCUGCCUAAAUUCAUAACAAAAAUAAAACGCAAAACUUUCAACAACGGAUCUCUUGGUUCUGGCAUCGAUGAAGAACGCAGCGAAAUGCGAUAAGUAAUGCGAAUUGCAGAAUUCCAGUGAGUCAUCGAAUCUUUGAACGCACAUUGCGCCCUUUGGCAUUCCGAAGGGCAUGCCUGUUCGAGCGUCAUUAUCAGCCCUCAAGCCCCGUGCUUGGUGUUGGACGGCUUGGUCGAGUCUCCCCUCGACCCGUCCCAAAGACAAUGACGGCGGUUGAUGGUCCCCCGGCACACUGAGCGUUUUACGCACGUGUUGGAUAAGGGUGCCCCAGCUCCGGUCUCCUCCUUCAGUGGAAAUUUUAAGGUUGACCUCGGAUCAGGUAGGAAUACGCGCUGAACUUAAGCAUAUCAAUAAGCGCAGGAAAAGAAACCAACAGGGAUUGCCUCAGUAACGGCGAGUGAAGCGGCAACAGCUCAAAUUUGAAAUCUGGCCUCUCGGGGUCCGAGUUGUAAUUUGUAGAGGAUGUUUUGGGCACCGCCUCGGUCUAAAUUUCUUGGAACAGAAUGUCAAAGAGGGUGAGAAUCCCGUCUUGGAUCGGCGGUAGGGCCUGUGUAAAACUCCUUCGACGAGUCGAGUUGUUUGGGAAUGCAGCUCAAAAUGGGUGGUAAAUUUCAUCUAAAGCUAAAUAUUGGCCAGAGACCGAUAGCGCACAAGUAGAGUGAUCGAAAGAUGAAAAGCACUUUGAAAAGAGAGUUAAACAGUAUGUGAAAUUGUUGAAAGGGAAGCGCUUGCAACCAGACUUGUGCGCGGUGGUUCCCCUCGCCUUUUGGCUAGGGUACUCCGCCGCGUCCAGGCCAACAUCGGUUUUGGGGGUCAGUUAAAGGCCUUGGGAAUGUACCUACCUACGGGUAGACUUAUAGACCAGGGUGCCAUGUGACCUCCCGGGACCGAGGAACGCGCUUCGGCUCGGAUGUUGGCGUAAUGGUUGUCAGCGACCCGUCUUGAAACACGGACCAAGGAGUCUAACAUCUAUGCGAGUGUUUGGGUGUCAAACCCGGAACGCGAAAUGAAAGUGAACGGAGGUAGGAAGCUUCGGCUGCACUAUCGACCGAUCCUGAAGUUUACGGAUGGAUUUGAGUAAGAGCAUAGCUGUUGGGACCCGAAAGAUGGUGAACUAUGCCUGAAUAGGGUGAAGCCAGAGGAAACUCUGGUGGAGGCUCGCAGCGGUUCUGACGUGCAAAUCGAUCGUCAAAUUUGGGUAUAGGGCGAAAGACCAAUCGAACCAU